AGGACGAACGCUGGCGGCGUGCUUAACACAUGCAAGUCGAACGGUGAAGUCCCUUCGGGGGCGGAUCAGUGGCGAACGGGUGAGUAACACGUGGGCAACCUGCCCCUAGCUCUGGGAUAACCCCGGGAAACCGGGGCUAAUACCGGAUAUGACCCUGAUAGACAUCUAUCAGGGUGGAAAGUUUUUCGGCUAGGGAUGGCCCGCGGCCUAUCAGCUUGUUGGUGAGGUAACGGCCCACCAAGGCGACGACGGGUAG
rnacentral:rRNA from 1 species